rnacentral:rRNA from 1 species
UGGGGAAUAUUGCACAAUGGGCGCAAGCCUGAUGCAGCCAUGCCGCGUGUAUGAAGAAGGCCUUCGGGUUGUAAAGUACUUUCAGUCGGGAGGAAGGUGUCAAGGUUAAUAACCUUGGCAAUUGACGUUACCGACAGAAGAAGCACCGGCUAACUCCGUGCCAGCAGCCGCGGUAAUACGUAGGUGGCAAGCGUUGUCCGGAUUUAUUGGGCGUAAAGCGAGCGCAGGCGGUUUCUUAAGUCUGAUGUGAAAGCCCCCGGCUCAACCGGGGAGGGUCAUUGGAAACUGGGAGACUUGAGUGCAGAAGAGGAGAGUGGAAUUCCAGGUGUAGCGGUGAAAUGCGUAGAUAUAUGGAGGAACACCAGUGGCGAAGGCGGCUCUCUGGUCUGUAACUGACGCUGAGGCUCGAAAGCGUGGGGAGCAAACAGG